GCGGGAAGCGGCGGCCGCCGCGGGAAUGCUUCUGGGUGGAACGCGCCCCCGCUGGCGGCUGCCGGGACCCAGCAGCGUCCCGGGUGAAACCGACCCGGCCUCUCUGGCGCCGCUUCUGCGGCAAGGCCUGCAGAAAGACGCCGCGGCGCCUCUUUCCUCCCGGACCUUCUUCCCCUGCAAGCAGGUCAUCUUAGCCUUAGCAGAUCUCCACCCACAUAGAACUCAGAAAUUGUCAUUUUGAAGGACAAAAGAAGUCUGUCCUAGAGAUGUUUUGUUUAAACUGUCCCUCGUGUGCUGAAAAAGCGGCUCACCAGGCGUGGCGGGCCAAGUAAGGGGCUGCUAGGGGAAUGAGCUGGAAUGCGGGGAGGGUUGAGCUCCAUCAUUGACCGGUGUGCCAAGGCCCAAGGGACACCGGACUCUCCGUAAUCACCCUCCCCCCACCCCCCCUUGGCCACAGCUCACCACGGGACCUCAAGGGACGCACUUGGGCAGCCCCGCCUGCCGGCGCCCUCGUCUCCAACCCUCUCCGCCCCGCCUGGCGCACUGCGUGGUUUGCUUAGUUUCCCGGACCUGGCAGAGCGGUGGCUGCGUUGAGGACGCACCGCACCCGUCCCGCGCCCUGUGGUCGGGGAGGCUCCAGGCCCACCCCCAGUGCAGGCCUCCGGGUGGGCGGACGCCGCCAGCGCCGCAGGUGCAGCCCAGACACAGCGCGCCGAUUGAUUGCUCUUUUGCCGUGAGCAAGUGACAGCAAGGAUUUGAAACUGACCAAAGAGGGUCUUAACCUUCAUAUUAUAAGCCAAGACGCUGGAGUGAGAAACAAUGCAGGACAAAAGAGAGGACUACAGAAAAACGUAAUGUUUCUGGAGUACCGAGUUCUGUGCAGAGGGUGGACCUGAUUGUGGUCUGGGGCCUAGGGACCAGAAUGUCCAGAAGAAAGGUGACAAGGGGCCCUUCGACAUGGAGGCAGUGGAUGAAAGCAGAAUGAGCUGUGUGGUCAAGAUGGAAAAGCAGGACUGGCAGGAUAGAAGAUAAAACCUGAUGCCCACUCAAGAGAGAAGCUUAACAGGAGACUCGCUCAAAGCUGGGACUCCGGAGGACUACAUUCUCCAUAUAAAGGUGACCCAGAAAUAAACUAUUCCUUCUGCAGAGGACUGGGAUCCUGAUGCUAAUUGAAUCGGAGUGUGGGUGGGCAAAUCUCCCCUGAGAAUAUGUAACCACAAGCCUGCCUUCAUAUAGAUUUUCAGCCUGGAUUCACAUGAUUAGGUACCACUUCCCCUAAAAGGGAAACAAAACAAAACAAAACAAAACAUCCUAGAGUCAAUAAUAUGAUCAGAAUUGGUCCCAGACUUUUGAUGCCCCCAGGUACCUGACAGAAGCAAGUGUAAAUCCUUUUCAGUGGAAUUCAGAAAUUUGCCUUCAUCCCUGGCCUCAAAUAAUUCCCACAGGUUAUGUCCAAGGAAAAUAAGCAGCCCCAAAUAAAAUAAUUUGCCAAAUAUAGAGGUAAACAAGGCACUAUGAGUAAGAACCAGCGGAAAUGAGACAGCAGAUUCAGACCCAAAAAAACUUUAUAUAUUUUUUAAAUGUUGAUUUAUUUUUGACAGAGAGAGAGAGAGAGAGAGAGAGAGAGAGAGAGCAUGCAAGCAGGGGAGGGAUGGAGAAAAAGGGACACAGAGGAUCUGAAGCAGGGUCCACGCUGCUUCAGAGCCUGACACGGGCUGGAACUCAGGAACCCUGAGAUCACAACUUGAGCUGAAGUCAGUCACUUAACUGACUGAGCCACCCAGGCGUGCCCUCCUCCCACCAAACAAACAAACAAACAAACAAAAAAACAACCUUUAGAUGCUGGAAUUAUCAGAUCUAGCAUACUCAAAUAAGCAUGUUUAAUGUAAUAGAAUAAAUAAGAGAGGCUUGAAAAUAUGACAAAAGAGCAAGCAAAUGUGGAAAAAAAAAACUCAGAGGAAAGAAAAAUAAAAAAUUGAAAUGUAAAACUCAGUAGAUAGGUUUAAAGCUGGUUAAAUAUAGUUGAAAGGAUGAUUAGGGAUGUGGAGGAUAGAACAGAAGAAAUUAUUUGAAAUAUAGCCCAGAGAGACAAAGAUAGGGAAAAUAUAAAAUAGAAGUUAAAAUUACAUAGAAGAUAGACCAACAAGGUCUAUCAUACAUUUAAUCAUAAUUCCAGAGGGAGAAUAAAUAAAAAAGAGAGAAGAGGAAAUGUUUGAAAAAAAAAUAAUGGA